GCAGGGAAGAUCUAUUACAUCCUGCGGCAGAGCGAGCUGGUGGACCUGUACAUCCAGGUGGCACAGAAUGUGGACCUGUACACAGGUGACCCCAACCUGGGGCUGGAGCUGUUUGAGGCAGCUGGAGACAUCUUCUUCAAUGGGGCCUAGGAGCGGGAGGAAGGCAUGUCCUUCUACCGGGACCGGGCCCUGCCCCUGGCAAUGACUACGGGCAACCGCAAGGUGGAGCUGCAGCUACAGCUGUGCAACAAGCUGGUGGCACUGCUGGACACACUGGAAAAGCCCUAGGAGGGCAUGGAGUUUGCCUACAUGGCCCUAGCACUCAGCAUCACUCUGGGUAAGUCCCCUCAGCCCCUGCCCUGCCAGGACCCACACUUUGCCAGAGUCCAGCCUCCAGGUCUGCAGGCCAGGAGCUGAAACAGCUGCUGGAUUUUCCUGGGCUCCUGUCCAGGCAGGCAGAUCUGCCCACCUGGCUUCCCCGUCCGGCUGUGAGGAACAACCCGAGGUCUCUCACACAGUGCACAGCUCCCUGCCUGACUGAGUUCUGCUUCCUCUGCCUGUUUCCACUGCUGACCACAAGGGCCGCCCAGUGUGCCCUCUGCCUUCCAGACAUGCCAGGCAUCUCGUUGGUCCCUGUAUGUGCCAGGCUGAGUGGCACAUUCCCUUUCUCUUGUGCCCUUCCCACCCUCAUCAACCACACGGCUCUCUGGCUGAUAAAAUCCCAGUUCCCCUUCCAGCAGUCUGCCCCUUAAGACCAGGCAUCCCCUGGUGCUGUGCCAGGGUCAUCUGUCCCUCUCCAGAGACAGGGAACCCUAGGCAGGCCACAUGCCCCAGCGCCUUGUGCCCCGUGGCGCAGUACACAGUAGGUGUGCAGCUGACUCCCCAAGGUAGGGGGCUCUGAUCGUGACACACCCAGCAGGAGUCAGAUGUCACGUCUGUGGGUUGCCUGGAGCUGGGGUGCCCGGGAGCACCUGAACUGCAUGGCUUUUGGGCUCCCCUGGUUAAAACCAGUGAGCAAAGGCAGGUGGCUAUGUGUAGACACAGAGCUGGGCCAUCCAAGUCCGACGUUGCCAAAGCCUCACAGUAGACAGGGGCAGGCCUUAUUAGUUCUGCUUUGCAGAUGGGAAAGUGAGUCUGGGAACCUGGAAGGGACUGGCCAUAGCUGCCCAGGUGACCACAGGUGCCUAGAGGCAAGCCAGGUGUGCUGCCCGGGGUCUGCAUACCUGCUCCUGAGGGGCCUGUGCCCUCCCUGCCCCAAGGAGCCAUGUCCUCACACCUGUCCCUUUGGCCUGCA